rnacentral:rRNA from 1 species
UAGGGAAUCUUCGGCAAUGGGGGGAACCCUGACCGAGCAACGCCGCGUGAGUGAAGAAGGUUUUCGGAUCGUAAAGCUCUGUUGUUAAGGAAGAACGAGUGUGAGAAUGGAAAGUUCAUGCUGUGACGGUACUUAACCAGAAAGGGACGGCUAACUACGUGCCAGCAGCCGCGGUAAUACGUAGGUCCCGAGCGUUGUCCGGAUUUAUUGGGCGUAAAGCGCGCGCAGGCGGCCCGCCAAGCGGCCUCGUCGAAGCCGGGGGCUCAACCCCCGGAAGCGACCCGAACUGGCGGGCUCGAGUGGGGCAGGGGAGGAUGGAAUCCCCGGUGUAGCGGUGAAAUGCGCAGAUAUCGGGAGGAACACCGACGGCGAAGGCAGCCCUCUGGGCCUUCACUGACGCUGAGGCGCGAAAGCUGGGGGAGCGAACAGG